rnacentral:rRNA from 1 species
CCUACGGGAGGCUGCAGUGAGGAAUAUUGGUCAAUGGACGAGAGUCUGAACCAGCCAAGUAGCGUGAAGGAUGACUGCCCUAUGGGUUGUAAACUUCUUUUAUAAAGGAAUAAAACGAGGCACGUGUGCCUUUUUGCAUGUACUUUAUGAAUAAGGAUCGGCUAACUCCGUGCCAGCAGCCGCGGUAAUACGGAGGAUCCGAGCGUUAUCCGGAUUGAUUGGGUUUAAAGGGAGCGUAGAUGGGUUGUUAAGUCAGUUGUGAAAGUUUGCGGCUCAACCGUAAAAUUGCAAUUGAUACUGGCAGUCUUGAGUACAGUUGAGGUAGGCGGAAUUCGUGGUGUAGCGGUGAAAUGCUUAGAUAUCACGAAGAACCCCGAGUGCGAAGGCAGCUUACUAAACUGUGACUGACAUUGAUGCUCGAAAGUGUGGGUAUCAAACAGGAUUAGAUACCCUGGUAGUC